CCUAGAUCAAGUUUAUCCUUUCGCAGAAAUAUUCCUUUUCUUCUCGAUCUUCAUCAUUAUCCUGGAAACUUGACAUUUAUCUUCCAAUUUCGCGAGAUCUAUCUUUUUCCGCAAGUAAAGAUAAACCGUCAUAGCGCUGAUGGGCUCAUUUUCGUAUGAAAUCGUAAGUAGACUGUUAACCGCGUUAUAGGCCUCUUUGGGCCGUUUUUCCACUAAGAUGUUUUAACGAUUUCUUAGAAAGAAAUCUGCUUGAUAUGACGUCAUCUUAUCGAGGAAGUCCACACUUCUCGUAUAGUUUAGACAAUCGUGGUGUUAAGUAAACCGUUGCCAUUUGUAGGAAAACGAGUCUUCGAAGUUCUUGUUGUAAAGUUCCAAUGGUAACUUCGAUCAAUACGAAACGAGGGACUGAUCCGCCGAGGAUCGGUGAAAUGGCAUAAGGUCCGGUCUACGGCAAGAGGAGUUGGUCUGACUCGCCGAACGGUCGAGUUGGACGGUGCGUGCGGUCCAACUCGCCGAACGGGCGAGUUGGACUGCUCGUUUGACUCCGUGAUCCAUUUUUCUUGAGUCUUUUGCUUCAAGAAUUCUUGUCGAGAAAGCUUUUGUACAGAAAUGCAACUUUUAGACGUUGAUUUCGAGGUAACCGUUUUUGACCCCAACAGACUUCAUAUACCUCAACAAGGCCUGCUCGAAAGAUGAGUUUCCACUUCCUCACAUCGAUCGGCUCGUAGAUGCUACGACCAGCCACCAGCUGCAAUCUUUCAUGGACACAUUCUUAGGAUAGAAUCAAAUUAAUAUGAACCCCGAGGAUCAAGAAAAAAAAUAUUCAUCACCGACAACGAUACCUACCGCUACAAAGUGAUGCUCUUUGGUCUAAAGAACGUUGGGGAUACUUACCAACGAAGGAUGAAUAAAAUGUCUGCCAAUCAGCUAGGUCAAGCCGUGAAAGUAUACAUCGACAAUAUGUUAGUCAAGACCAAAAAAUGACCGAACACUUCAAUCAGUUACGUCAAUACUUCAUAAUCCUCAAUAAAUAAAGAAUGAAGUUAAAUCUGGAAAAGUGCACCUUCGGAAUUCCCUCCCGUAAAUUUCUUCGAUACCUAGUAACAAAGCACGAAAUUGUGGCGAACCUUAAAUGAUUAGCGCAUCCAAAAACAACAAGGGAAGUACAUCGAUUGACCGAGAGAAUAACAGUCUUUAACAUGUUAAUUUCCCUAUCAGCUAACAAAUAUCUUAUUUUCUACCACUAGACCAUUCAACCCCCGAUGAAAUUAGGUUGGAUAGGCGAAUAAGUAGCCACAUUACUAGCUUCGUGAAAAAAUAACAUAAGUGCUGUCUUAAAUGUGAACGUUGUCUUAAAUAAUUAAGAUUCAGAGUUAUAGUUCCCAUUCCCUCAAGAUUUCCACUUCAUCACAUCUUUAAUAGUUAGUAUUCAAAGUUAUAUUCUUCUGUUACGUGAGUAACCAAAACAAAAUUAUUAUAGUUUUUUUUUGUUUAAUUGAUUACUAGUAUUGAUCCCGUGUUAUGCACGGUCAUAUUUUUGCUUAAAAACAACGUGAAAUUCAGAAUAGAGAGCGCACACAAAGUAAAGGAAAAUGGAUUUUUUUUGUUAAGUAAGGAGAGCUAGCAGUGAAGGAGGAGAAGAAAUGAAGAAUUCGAUUGGAUAUGGGAAUGAGCCAAUCAUCAACCACCACUGAGACAAUAAGAUCUAAGGGAAUUGGAAAGGAUAAAGAUUCCAAAGAGCAGAAAAAGUUGAUAUAUUCUGGUGGGUGGUGGGAAAGAGACAUGAAUGUUAUAGGAUAAACCGGUUAUCUAUUUGGUUUAGUUAUUUGAUCUUUGGUUUAGCUUUACGGUUUAGCUCUUUGAUUUAGUAAACACUAUAUGUAAUCCCUUUCUUAUUUACGGGAAAUCAAUCAAAACAUUAAACAAUCUUCUAAACCCUAACUCUCUGUACAUCAUGUUCAUCAUCAUCCACCAUUAAGAAUCUCUAUUCUUCGGGUUGAUCCUUCUUCCUUUGUGGUCAUCCUCUAGGAUUUACCAGUUCUCGAGCUCACGGUGAGCUUCUGGAUCGGAUCUAUCGGUUACACUCAUACCUACUGUCUCACUGGUAUCAGAGCCUUCGAGCUUCGGACCAAAAGAAAAAAAAAUUUUACGGCUUCAAAAAUGGUGAUGCCUUUCUUACCAUCGAUAAUUUUUACGUUGACGUCUUCAAGGGUUAUUUUUUGUGGUCAAUGGAACAAAAAAAAAACGUUUUGUUUUUUUCUUUCAUCCCUUAGUUAAGACAUUGGCAGUAGGCUGGCGUGUUUCUUCACCUUCUUGCGCCAAAAGUCCAGCAAACCGAAGUUCUAGUGUCUCUCCUACUCAUCUGUUUCUUUAUUUGUAAGGUUCACCAUAUUGUGUAUUGUAGAGAAUGAGGACCAAUUUCUUGAGAAAAUACAAAUUUUAAUAUAACAUGUACAUACCUCUGAUUUGUUUUCGAAAUUAAUCAGGCAGCACCGAUUUUGCCACCUUUUCAACAUUAAUAGAGGCCUUUCCUUGAGCUAUAUACAAUACAGCCUAUAAAGUUUUUUACUUCUUUUAAAUUCACAUUGAUUUAAUAUGCUUCUUAUCUUUCUCCACAAGACACUAGAUAUAUCAUCAUGAGCUCUUCUUAAUCGCAGAAACGGUGGUGGCCUCUGACAGAGACUUUUGGGGAUGGCAAAUCCCUGCCGGAACGUCACCGGAACAGCCACAAAUAACCACCAUGAAAGAGAAGCCAUCCUACCAUCCGAAAAGAGAGAGUAGAGCUCUACAGACACGUUUUGGAGGAAUAGAAGAACGAUCGAUCAAAUAUGAGUAUUUCGAAGCUAAAUUUUGUGGUUAUGUUCUACAUUCAUAGAUCUAUGUUUAUCAGAAAGCAGAUCAUCAUUUGAAAUUUUUAUCUAAGAGUUAUGGUUGUUUCUUUGGGAGUGAUAUCUACAGAUCGGAUCCGCGAACAGUCAACUUCAUCAGCGUUUUACCGUUGAUACAGAAGGAACCAGGGAACGAGCGAGAUAUCAUUGGAAAGAUCUCGAUGCCAGCUUUUCAGAUCAUCUAUACGAUCGUCAAAUCGACAUACGGUAAGAAAGGUAUUGACGUUUCUUCUUGGCGAAGAAUAAAGCUGUUGAGUUGCAGAGACAGUUCUGACCAGUCUUGGUGUAAGUGAGAAACGGUCGACAGAAACAAAAUCUUUCAGUCUAGAAAUUUGUCAGUAAGUAGUUAAUUCUCUUAUCUAUCAUCUCCUGCAAGCAGAUCGUUAUUCCGAGUUAUUUUCUGAGAGUUAUGCUUGUUUUCGUGAGAGGUGUUGGUGCAGUUUGCGUCUACGACCAGCCUGGAGAUGAAGCUACUUUGGUUAAGCAAAUGGUGUCCAAUCGGAGUAAACUUGGUGUCUAUGGAAGAUUCAUCUGACAAGAGAUUUAUCAGGCCGAAUAAUUCGCCGUGGGGAGCACCAGUGUUAUUUGUAAAGAAAAAAAAUAAUGGAGUUUCAAGCUUUGUAUCGACUACAUAGACUUGAACAUGGUAACCACCAUAUUGAUGAGUUGUUGAAUUAGAUGCAUGGAGGUUCAUGGUUCUCGAGGGUUGUCUUGGCAUCAGGACAUGAUCAGAUUACUAUAGUUGAGGAGUAUGUACGGAAUGUGGGUUUCCGUAUACAUUAUGGAUAUUAUGAGUUUAGGUGAUAUCAUUUUGGAUCGACGAAUGCACCGAUAGCAUUUGAGAAGCUUAUGAAUGAUGUCUUUCCCGAACACUUGGAAAAGUGUGCGAUUGUACUCAUCGACGACCCCAUUGAGUUAUUCUUGGAGUAGAGAGAGCAUGAUGAGCAUUUGCGGAUUGUGUAUUGAUGCAUGAGGAUCAGGUCAUUCCAUAUACAUUGCAUUAGUUGAGACCUCAGGAGACCCACUACCCUAUUCAUGAUUCGUAGUGGCUGCAGUGGUAUUUGCAUUAUAGUUUUGGGGAUUGUAAUUGUACAGGAAGGAAGUUCAGGUUCUCCGGGAUCAUUGGAGUCUGAAAUCUAUCUUCAUUCAUUAAAACUUGUACUUGGACAGUGUAGUUGGAUUGAUAGCAGGCUACAGUUUGGAUAUUGCAUACCAUCUGGUAAUGCCAAUCAGGUGGCAGAUGCCUUGAGUAGACGCAGGAACGAUGUUUCAGGAACCAAGGAGGUUCAGGAGCUGACUGGGACACUUGCUAGUCUCAGAUUGUGUGCAGUUACCGCAGAGGGAGAGACUGGUGGUCUUGAAGCAUUGGAGCAGGCAGAUUUAUUAUGGAGGAUACGCAGAGCUCAGGAUAGUGAUGAUGCUUUGGUUAAGCAGAUUGAGAUCGAGAGUAUUGGAUAUCAUAAGUGUUGAGCGGGAUAGUUUUGAGCGGGAUGUACCUGUACCGAAACCGAGUUGUGUGUUGGACGAUAAGUUGUUAAGAAAAGGGAUCUUACAGUAAAUACAUCACUUGUGUUUCUCUACCCAUCGGGAACAUCAAGGGGUACAAAGAUAUGAAGUGUUAACUAUAAUUGGUCUAGUAUGAAGAGAGUUGUAGCUUCAUUGCGUCACAGUGUCAGACAUGUCAGAUGGCUAUGACAGAGGAUCAGUUAUCUAUCAUGUUAUUUUUGAGCUUGCUUUUGCCGGAGUGGAAAUGAGGCAUGGUGAUUAUGGACAUUGUUUUUGGAUUUUAAAUCACCAUAUGUGGAAAGGAUGCCACAUGGGUAGUCAUGGAUACACUUACCAAGUCAGCCCAUUUCCUAAGAAAUUAAGAAGACAGUCAGAGCUAAUCAGUUGGAGCAGACCUACAUUAUUGAGUUUGGGAGGUUUCAUGGAUGUAAACAUUGUAUCGGAUUGGGAUUCGAAGUUCACGUCUACAUUUUUGGAGUCAUUCAGAAGGAACUUGGGACAAAGUUCCACAGGAAUACAACUUAUUAUCAGUAUACAGAUGGUUAGUCAAAGAGGACUAUUCAGACUUAGAGGACAUGCUCAGGGAUUGCGUCUUACAGUGGGAUGGAAGAUCGGAAAGCAUUACAUCUAGCAGAGUUUGCCUACAUCAACAACUAUCGUUCGAGCAUUGAGAUGACACCGUAUGAGGCUAUUUAUGGUAGGCCUUGUCGUAUAUCACUUUGUUGGACCAAAGUGAAGGAGUGAGAUGAGUUAGAACUAUUAAUGGUUCAAGAGAUGGUAUAGCAAAAGGACAUGCUCAAGGAUUGGCUUUGGGAUGCCCAUGACGGCAGAGGAUUUAUGCAGCUAAGCGUCGUAAGGAUUUGGAGUUACAUAUGGGCAAUCUAGUAUACUUGAAAAAUAAUGACAUUUCAGGGAGGACUUAAGACUCAUAAGAUGAAGCAACUAAAACCGAGGUACAUUGGACUGUAUCCUCCGGUGGAGCGAAUUGGAGCAGUUGAUUGCAGUUAUUUUAUCAGUAGUGUAUCAGACUUCCAUGACGUAAUCCAAGUGAGAUCAAAUUCAGGUGAGGAUUGACUAUCCGAAGAUUUUUUUUUAGGAUGGUAUUGGACAGCCGACUCAGGAUUUGAUUUCGAGGACGAAUUCCUCGUAAGUGGAGAAGAAUUGUAACGACCCAAAUCUCGCCCGGAAAAAUUUAGCCCAGUAAGACCCAAUUACAUUGCAGAAAACCCUAAAGUUUUCUUAUUUAAGAUGGGAUUUCGUGGUGGCCUCUUACAGAGACUUUUGGGAAUGGCAAAGCCCUGCCGGAACGUCACCGGAACAGCCACAAAUAGCCACCUUGAAAGAGAAGCCAUCCUACCAUCCGAAAAGAGAGAGUACAGCUCUGCAAACACGUUUUGGGGGAAUAGAAGAACGAUCUAUCAAAUAUGAGUAUUUGGAAGCUAAAUUUUGAGGAUAUGUUCUACACUCAUAGAUCUAUGUGUAUCAGAAAGCAGAUUGUCAUUUGGAAUUUAUAUCUAAGAGUUAUUGUUGUUUCUUUGGGACUGAUAUCUACAGAUCAGAUCCGUGAACAGUCAACUUCAUCAGCGUUUUACCGUUGAUACAGAAGGAACAAGGGAACGGGCGAGAUAUCGUUGGAAAGAUCUCGAUGCCAGAUUUUUAUAUCAUCUAUCCAAUCGUCAAAUCGACGUACGGUUAGAAAGGUAUUGACGUUUCUUCUUGGCGAAGAAUAAAGCUGUUGAGUUACAGAGACAGUUCCGACCAGUCUCGGUGUAAGUGAGAAACGGUCGACAGAAACAAAAUCUUUCAGUCUGGAAAUUUUAUCAGUAUGUAGUUAAUUCUCUUAUCUAUCAUCUCCUACAAGCGGAUCGUUAUUCCGAGUUAUUUUCUGAGAGUUAUGCUUGUUUUCGUGAGAGGUGUUGGUGCAGUUUGCGUUUACAUCCAGCCUGGAGAUGAAGCUACUUUGGUUAAGCAAAUGGUGUCCUAUCGGAGUAAACUUGGUGUCUAUGGAUAGAGGACAUAUAGGAUUACAUUAUGACCGGAGGGAUCUAAACGUUAACGGUCAGUUCUUGAGUUAUUCAUCUGUUUGCUCUAUGGUUCAGCUCUGCCAGAAUAUCAUAUUGAUCUAAUUUCAGAGAGCUCCGGAGUUGCUUUGUUAGAGCCGUCAAGGUCCAUUCGGCGUUUCCUCAGGUUUCUUCAGAACCCAUGGCAAAGAUGAGACUGACGAGCAUGAGUGAUUGCUAUCGGGCUGGUGCUUUGGGAGUUUUAUUUCCUUUUUUUUCAGACUUGCAGUUUUUAUGCUUUUACCGAUUUUUUCGAGAUUUAUUAUGUUAUUUGGAUUUAUGGCUAUUUAUUGGAUUUACGACUUUGGAAUUGACUUUUGAGAAGUAAUAAUGGAAAUUUCAGACUUUUUAUUUAUUUAAGUUAUUUUGGAAAAUACGGGUGUUACACAAACGUUACAGUAUUCACAUUGUUGACCAUAUCAAACACUUGCCUUGUUUGAUCAUGGUUUCGAACAAACUUCAUGCCUCCAUUACAAAGAUUGCAAAUACCUGAUAAGACAAAUAACUAUCGGAUUUACUUGAUUAUAGGCUAUAUCCUUUUGAUUAAUUUAAAAUGUUACCUAUCACACGCCUCUUUUGAGUGAUUAUAGGCUUCUUUACGUAUGGUGGAAUUUUAGAGAUUUAUAGGAAUUAAAAAAAGAAAAAAAAUUUGUGAAGAAAAAAGAAAACGUGUGUAGUGGAUUGUUUGAAAAACCGUUGUCUACAUGAAUUUUUUUACAUUAUAUUUUUUAUAGAUUUUAUUUUAAAUUUUGAAAACAUUGCUUAUGCUUUAAAGGAUUUGCUAAAUUCAUCGACUAAAACGAGUAGUAUUAUAUUCAUGUUAUAAAACAAGAGAAUAUAAUAUGUAUGUUUAUUUCUUAUUCAUAAACAUAAGGAGCCCUUUAUAUAUAGAGAAUUACACUGUCAUAGACUAAUGGAAAGACUAGAGAAAGGAAAAACAAAUAUGGAAAGAGUACAAAUUAUAAACUAAUAAGGAAAAGAGAAACUAGGGUUUCUCUCUCUCUCCAGCCACCGGCUCUCUCUCUCUCUCUCUCUAGGGCGCGGCCGUCUCUCUCUCUCUCUAGGUAUGGGCCGGUUUAUGGACCGGGCCGGUUAUGGACAUCCACAAUAUGAUUUAUAACACUCCCCCUUUGAUGCCAUAAUCAUACAGAGUUUGUAAUACACUUUAGAUGUUGCCUCAUUAAAACCUUACCAGGAAAACCCAGUGGGACAAAACCAUGGUGAAGGA